CACGAACGAGUGGGAAGCACUCUUUGCCGUAAACCGUUAGAUAGCGUUCCAACGCCGGGCAUUCAAAUUUUGAUUAAUUAAUUUGACCGUUAAUAUUGGGGCGGUCUCCAAUACUGGGAGUAGAGAGAACACAGUUGAGUUGAAGGUAGAAGAAAUAUUUAGAGAGAGAGAGAGAGUGCCGACUGGGUUAGAAACCAGAAUCGAUCACUGAAUUACAGUAUUCGAGAUGUUUUUGGCCAUAAUUAAUCACGAAGAAGAAGAGGAAAAAGAAGGAAUCGGCACUAAAUUACUGUAUUAGAGGUGUUGUUUAAUUGGGUUUCUUCCAGAAUGAAUUACCCAAAGGAAGAAGAGGUAUUGUCUUUUUUUUCCCGAGUAAUUUCUACUUUCAGUUGAUGGUACUGUUUAAUUUGGGUUUAAUUGGGUUUCUUCCACGAUUUCUUGUCAAUUUGAGUUUCUUCUUUGUGUUUCUUGUCUAAUUUGGGUUUAAUUUGGUUCUUCAGAAUCUUCACUGAAUUACCCAAAGAAAUAAAAAGGUUUUUCGAUUGUUUGAGUAAUUUCUACUUUAUUCGUACUGUAUAAUUUGGGUUCGAUUGUGUUUCUUCCACGAUUUCUUGUCAAUUUGGAUUUCUUCUAUGUGUUUCUUGUCUAAUUUAGGUUUAAUUGUUUUUCUUCAGAAUGGUCACUUUAUUACCCAAAAGAAGAAAGGGUUUUUCGAUUAUCUUAGUAAUUUUUACUCUGUGUAUCCUUACAGUUUAAUUUGGGUUUCUUCUAUGAUUUCUUGUCUAAUUUUUGAUGGUACUGUUUAAUUCUUGAUUUUCUCUGUGUGUUUUGUGGAUUUUUUUAUGAUUGCUAUUAAUAAUUUGUAUUGUUUGUGGCUUACAUUGAAUAGAUAUUUUCUUUACAUAUGAUUUCUGUCUAAUUGGGGUUUUCCCUUGAUUUCUUGUCUAAUUGGGUUUUUGUUAGUUUUGUCUGUCACUUUGAGUAUGAGUUUCACUCUCUUUUCUUUCCGAGUCUACUUGACUUUUUUAUUUAUUAAUGUUGUUCUGUUUGGAAACACCAUUAUCAGAAUCUCUCUCUAAAAAGGAAAAAAAUGAUGUUGUACUAAUCCUAUAUAUACAUACAUGUAAUGUUUAUAUAUCAGGGUUUGGUGUCUACAGAUCUUGAUUUGCAGUGCAGAUCUAGUGCUUUAGGGGUUCAACAUUUGCUCACGAAUGGCUACUCCCUUUUGCUUUCCUGUCACUGCUGUGCAUAUAUGUACCUCUCUAUCUCUCUUCUGAUAUAUAUAUAUAUAUAUAUGAAUGAUCCAAAGCAUCUAUUUGCUAUGGAUCAAAAAGUGGCAUAUAGCAUCUAUACCGUAGCUUUAACAAAUGAUGGAAAAAAUGACUAUAUAUGUUGUUCACUAGUUUGAAGAAUCAUUACUUGUAUCCUAAUUAAUGCAUGCUGAAUCUAUUCCAGUAAUGUUUCCUUCACAGGCUAAAGGGAAGAAGAGAGAUAUUGCAGUAAUGUUCACAGGCUAAAGGGAAGAAGAGAGAUAUUGCAGGUUAAAGGCUAAAGGGCUGAAUCUAUUCCAGUAAUGUUCUCAUUGCACGAUCAUAUUGCAUUUGAUGCCCGUAUAUGACAAGCACAUGGUAAUGAAUGAAUACACAAAUUCUUUGUAUAGAUCUUGUUCUUUGAAUUCAUAGCUAAAUUAUGUUAAUCAAUGUUUAUUUUAAAAAUGGAAACUUGAAAUUCCUUUCUGCUUGUUGAGCGGAUAGUUAAGAGUUUGUGGAUAUAAUAAUAAUGAAUGAUUUGUCUUCUGAAAUUAUAUAUUUUGAGAUUUCAUGCAAAACUAUUUUAGGAGGUGAAGUGUUUUGUGCUUGAUUUUCUGUCUUGUGUUUUAUUUACAAUUAAUCCCGGCCAUGCCUUAAAAAUAAAGAGAAUUCAUAUGAGAUACUAUUUCAUAGAACUAAAUGUGUACAAUUUGGGAUGUAGAAAUUGUAAUGUAGCUGUUUUGUGUUGGUCAGCACAGUAGCUUUUGACAGAUAGGUAAAUCAUCCUUGCUGUGUUGCUGAUGUCUGGUUUUGAGCAUACAGGAUUGAAUUUAUAGAAGAUGACAACUUAGAGGAUGCUUGGACAGUUUUCCUAAGGUAUCGCUACUGGGCCAGUUUGAUAUAAGAUUCUGCUGCCAUCUACUUUUUUGAUGCAGGGUGUUAUGCUCAUUGUGUUUCCUAACUUGCCUCAAAGUUAUGUUUUCAUGCUGAGUUUAACUUUUUUUUGAAGUUCCAUUUUUGAGCUUUUAACGGAAGAUCGCAGACUGAGUACCUGCUUUAAAUUGCCUCACUUUUUAACUUCAGCAGUUUUUAUUCAUGAUUCUUUGGAUCUUAGUUUGAUCAAUAUAUUACAUAUAGUUCUAAUUGUUUAAUCUAAGUUUUUAUAUCUAAUUUUCUUUAAAGGUAUCUUUAUCUUCCAUUUAGUUGAUUAUAUUAUAAUAAGAAUCUAUCUACAGUAACAAAGAAAUAACUAUAUAUCAAAUUAAAUACAUAAAGCAGUAAAAUUAGCACAAAGUUGUAUGGACUGGAAUGCUUAGGUGUCAUUUGUGCAAAAAAUUUAGCCCAAAUUCUGCAAUUUUAGAUAUGAAAUAACAAGUGACAACAGGAUGGGGCCUAUGGUAAGGCGUUCAGUAUUGUUGUGAAUCUUAAUUACCAUGACUGAUAUUCACUGGACUGACCACCAAUAAAGCUAACAAAUUUUCUGUGAAUUUAACAGGCAUGUGCCUUCAAGGACUCUUAUGAGAAAUUCAAGAAAGCAGGAGCUGAGGUUGUUGGUAUUAAGUUGUAUUUGAUUUGGAAUUAUGUUUAGGAUAUAUUUUUGUUGUUGAUUUGGAAUAGGAUUGGUAUAAUUUGUUUUGGAAUUGGAUUUAUUUGAUUUGGAAUAACUUGGUAUUUUAUGUAUUUGAUGUGGAAGAAUUUGGAAUUUGAUGUAUUUGAUUUGAUCUCCUUUGGAAUUUGAUAUUUCAAAUAUGA
rnacentral:lncRNA from 1 species